UGCAGUCGAGCGGACUUUUAAAAGCUUGCUUUUAAAAGUUAGCGGCGGACGGGUGAGUAACACGUGGGUAACCUGCCUGUAAGACUGGGAUAACUCCGGGAAACCGGGGCUAAUACCGGAUAACUUCUUUCCUCGCAUGAGGAAAGAUUGAAAGAUGGCUUCGGCUAUCACUUACAGAUGGACCCGCGGCGCAUUAGCUAGUUGGUGAGGUAACGGCUCACCAAGGCGACGAUGCGUAGCCGACCUGAGAGGGUGAUCGGCCACACUGGGACUGAGACACGGCCCAGACUCCUACGGGAGGCAGCAGUAGGGAAUCUUCCGCAAUGGACGAAAGUCUGACGGAGCAACGCCGCGUGAGUGAUGAAGGUUUUCGGAUCGUAAAACUCUGUUGUUAGGGAAGAACAAGUAUCGUUCGAAUAGGGCGGUACCUUGACGGUACCUAACCAGAAAGCCACGGCUAACUACGUGCCAGCAGCCGCGGUAAUACGUAGGUGGCAAGCGUUGUCCGGAAUUAUUGGGCGUAAAGCGCGCGCAGGCGGUUUCUUAAGUCUGAUGUGAAAGCCCACGGCUCAACCGUGGAGGGUCAUUGGAAACUGGGAGACUUGAGUGCAGAAGAGGAGAGUGGAAUUCCACGUGUAGCGGUGAAAUGCGUAGAGAUGUGGAGGAACACCAGUGGCGAAGGCGACUCUCUGGUCUGUAACUGACGCUGAGGCGCGAAAAGCGUGGGGAGCGAACAGGAUUAAAUACCCCUGGGUAGUCCACGCCCGUAAACAA
rnacentral:rRNA from 2 species